UUUACUGCCACUGCCCCAUGGUCUAGUUUUCCUGUUGAACAGCGAGGACAGUGACCUGAGCCUGCUCUGAGGAGACCUGCACUGGCUUUGGAAAGAAGGAUGUUUCAAAGACUCUGUUUGCCUCCUUUUGAUAUUGCCUCCGGCUCCAGCACCUUCCCCAGCAGUGUUUCUGCAUUCUGCGCAGCAUGUGCCUCUCUGGGGCCAGUGUCCGCACUCUGCCUGCUGCUGGCAGUGGCUAUUUCACUGGGAAAUCAGUUUUGAACCAAGCUGGGAUUAGAAGUGCUGGCUGAAACUGGAUCCGCUUCCAGAGAGCAGACAUUGUCUUUCUCAUUUUAAUUUCUGACAGUGCAGAUGCAGAUUUCAGCAGGCUCUGAAGAAAGAGAACUUCAUUCAUUUCUACUUUCUGCUCUUCUAUGUCCAGUUACCAGCUUACUCUGUGGCUGUGGGAUGGUGGCUACCUGAGCUCAAUAUAUACCAGUUGAUGGUGACUUGGAGAAAGAGGCAAAAGCUCUACCAGUGUGACUCAAAGGAACGGAGAACAUCAGGAAGGUCAAAUUUGAACUUGAAGCAAUGGUUUCUGUGAAGUUUCUCCUUUUUUACCUCUGGAAGGCUUGUGCUCACUGAAAGUAAACUGAAAGAGCUGGCACGGUUUGGUUGGGUCUGGGCUCUGAGUCACUCCAGAGAGCACUUCGCAUUUGUCACUGGGCUCUUUUGAGGACAUGUCAGAUUUCUGCCCUUGCUGGGCUCUCUGAGCAACCCUUCCGCAGGAAGAAGCAAAGGCAAGACACUUACUGAUAUUUCUGUUUAUUCCAUUAAGGAAAAAUUCACCUCUGGACAAAAGUGUUUUCA